rnacentral:rRNA from 1 species
GAUGAACGCUGGUGGCGUGCCUAAUACAUGCAAGUCGAGCGAACAGAUAAGGAGCUUGCUCCUUUGACGUUAGCGGCGGACGGGUGAGUAACACGUGGUUAACCUACCUAUAAGACUGGGAUAACUUCGGGAAACCGGAUCUAAUACCGGAUAACAUUUGGAACCGCAUGGUUCUAAAGUGAAAGAUGGUUUUGCUAUCACUUAUAGAUGGACCCGCGCCGGAUUAGCUAGUUGGUAAGGUAACGGCUUACCAAGGCGACGAUACGUAGCCGACCUGAGAGGGUGAUCGGCCACACUGGAACUGAGACACGGUCCAGACUCCUACGGGAGGCAGCAGUAGGGAAUCUUCCGCAAUGGGCGAAAGCCUGACGGAGCAACGCCGCGUGAGUGAUGAAGGGUUUCGGCUCGUAAAACUCUGUUAUUAGGGAAGAACAAAUGUGUAAGUAACUGUGCACGUCUUGACGGUACCUAAUCAGAAAGCCACGGCUAACUACGUG